CUCUCGGAGGUCCGUGCGUCUCGGUGGUUGCUGGUCCACUGGGGCUGUGCCUGAACGCGCGCCCGGACUGACUCGUCCCUAGGAGGCUCGCAGCCGUCAGGCCUUUAGGAGCCUCCGUGCCAUUGCACCUGCUUUUUCUCGAAGAUUUUUGAAGAAAAAUUAAGAACAUUAGUCUGAAAACUACAAAGGAAACCAACCUCAUGUUCCUGGCUGAGAGAUCAGAAUAUAACCAAGGGAUUGCUAGGGAAAUGGCAUUGUCAAACAGAAGACCGAUUUCAGGGAUGGAGGAAAAGUAGGCAGACUAAAACUAGGCUGUCACCAUAUCCCUGCAAGAAACUCUCGAGAUACCUUUUGGAGAGAAAUGUGAAUAAUUGGUUCCCGAGGGGAGAGAGGAGGACAAGAUCAGGAAGAACCACAUGGUUGAGGGGGCAGGACUUCAAAGAUUCUUAAUAUUCUAACAUAUUUCAUUAAUGCAGACAAGCCAAUUUUCUUCACUUAACAUCUCUGAAAUAAGGAUGUGCCUUACAAGUUAUACCACCUUAGAAUUAUUCCUAGCAUCCUUUUUUCUCUUUCAGUGGUAAAUAAAAUAAAGGUGUAACUUACAAACAAUGGAUUCCAUGAAAAUAUGGCUAGUUCUUAAACUAUAUGGUGGAAAUGGGUGCACAGUUUAUUUUUAAUUACCUCUUAUAUAUUAUACAUGUUUUUAUAUAUUCAGUGUAUAAUAAAAUCAAGUUAACACAGAUUAUGUCAUGGGUCAGAUUAAUAUAGUAGGAAGAAGAUUAGGAAAAAGGACAAAAUCAAAUAGGAUCGAGACUUAGACGGUGAUGGUAUAUAAAAUAAGAGAGUAAAGCGAGACUGAGGUGAAUAAGAUUGUAGAUUCCGAGAUAGAGACAGAGAUAGGCAUAGAAACCCUUAGGAGCCAGGACAGAGUAAGACAGAAUAUGAGAUCUGGAGGUUGGUUCCAAAGUCAAAGAGGAGGAAGAUGGGCUAUAGGGCUGAGGCUCUAGAGCAGUGCUGUUGAGUAGAACUUUCUGCAACGAUGGAAAUAUCUGCAUCUGCACCAUUCAAUAUGGCAGCCACUAGACACAUAAUAAUGUGGUUACUGAACAUCUGAAAUGUGGCUAGCAUGACCGAGAAACUGAAUUUCUAUUUAUUUCAUUUUAAGUAAUGAAAUGGCCACAAGUAGCUAGUGACCACAGUUUUGGACACUGUUGCUCUAGAGUGUCCAUGGCUUCUGAAUCCAGACAGAGGGCAGGGAGAAGGGCACUAGCCCCAGGACACUCACCAGC